rnacentral:rRNA from 1 species
AGAGUUUGUCAUGGCUCAGAAUCAACGCUGGCGGCGUGCCUAACACAUGCAAGUCGAACGAGAAAGUGGAGCAAUCCAUGAGUAAAGUGGCGACCGGGUGAGUAACACGUGACUAACCUACCUCCAAGUGGGGAAUAACUCCGGGAAACCGGGGCUAAUACCGCAUAACAUCGCAAGAUCAAAGCAGCAAUGCGCUGGGAGAGGGGGUCGCGGCUGAUUAGCUAGUUGGCGGGGUAACGGCCCACCAAGGCGAAGAUCGGUAUCCGGCCUGAGAGGGCGCACGGACACACUGGAACUGAAACACGGUCCAGACUCCUACGGGAGGCAGCAGUGGGGAAUUUUGCGCAAUGGGGGAAACCCUGACGCAGCAACGCCGCGUGGAGGAUGAAGUCCCUUGGGACGUAAACUCCUUUCGACCAAGACGAUAAUGACGGUACUGGUGGAAGAAGCACCGGCUAACUCUGUGCCAGCAGCCGCGGUAAUACAGAGGGUGCGAGCGCUGUUCGGAAUUAUUGGGCGUAAAGGGCGCGUAGGCGGUGCCACAAGUCACCUGUGAAAUCUCCGGGCUUAACUCGGAGCCUGCAGGCGAAACUGUGGUGCUGGAGUAUGGGAGAGGUGCGUGGAAUUCCCGGUGUAGCGGUGAAAUGCGUAGAUAUCGGGAGGAACACCUGUGGCGAAAGCGGCGCACUGGACCAUAACUGACGCUGAGGCGCGAAAGCUAGGGGAGCAAACAGGAUUAGAUACCCUGGUAGUCCUAGCCCUAAACGAUGAUUGCUUGGUGUAGCAGGUACCCAAUCCUGCUGUGCCGCAGCUAACGCGAUAAGCAAUCCGCCUGGGGAGUACGGUCGCAAGGCUGAAACUCAAAGGAUUUGACGGGGGCCCGCACAAGCGGUGGAGCAUGUGGUUCAUUUCGACGCAACGCGAAGAACCUUACCUGGGCUCGAAAUGCAGGAGAUCGGGGUGGAAACAUCCCUUCCCCUUAAAGGCUG